CAUGCAAGUCGAACGCCCCGCAAGGGGAGUGGCGCACGGGUGAGUAACGCGUGGGAAUAUGCCCUUCGGUUCGGAAUAACACAGGGAAACUUGUGCUAAUACCGGAUACGAUCUACGGAUGAAAGAUUUAUCGCCGAGGGAGUAGCCCGCGUAGGAUUAGCUAGUUGGUGAGGUAAUGGCUCACCAAGGCGACGAUCCGUAACUGGUCUGAGAGGACGACCAGUCACACCGGAACUGAGACACGGUCCGGACUCCUACGGGAGGCAGCAGUGGGGAAUAUUGGACAAUGGGGGCAACCCUGAUCCAGCGACGCCGCGUGGGUGAAGAAGGCCUGCGGGUUGUAAAGCCCUUUCGGUUGGGAAGAAAAGUUCUGACCUAACACGUCGGGACCUUGACGUAACCAACUAAAGAAGCACCGGCUAACUCUGUGCCAGCAGCCGCGGUAAUACAGAGGGUGCGAGCGUUAAUCGGAAUUACUGGGCGUAAAGCGCGCGUAGGCGGCUUUUCAAGUCGGAUGUGAAAUCCCCGGGCUCAACCUGGGAACUGCAUUCGAGACUGUCUAGCUAGAGUAUGGGAGAGGGAAGUGGAAUUUCAGGUGUAGCGGUGAAAUGCGUAGAUAUCUGAAGGAACAUCAGUGGCGAAAGCGACUUCCUGGACCAAUACUGACGCUCA
rnacentral:rRNA from 1 species